UAUUGCACAAUGGGGGAAACCCUGAUGCAGCGACGCCGCGUGAAGGACGAAGUAUUUCGGUACGUAAACUUCUAUCAGCAGGGAAGAAAAUGACGGUACCUGACCAAGAAGCCCCGGCUAACUACGUGCCAGCAGCCGCGGUAAUACGUAGGGGGCAAGCGUUAUCCGGAUUUACUGGGUGUAAAGGGAGCGUAGACGGCCAUGCAAGUCUGAUGUGAAAACCCGGGGCUCAACCCCGGGACUGCAUUGGGAACUGUGCGGCUGGAGUGUCGGAGAGGCAAGUGGAAUUUCUAGUGUAGCGGUGAAAUGCGUAGAUAUUAGGGGGAACACCAGUGGCGAAGGCGGCUUGCUGGACGACGACUGACGUUGAGGCUCGAAAGCGUGGGGAGCAAACAGG
rnacentral:rRNA from 1 species